CCUACGGGUGGCAGCAGUGGGGAAUAUUGGGCAAUGGCCGCAACUCUGACCCAGCAACGCCGCGUGAAUGAUGAAGGUCUUCGGAUUCUCAAGUUCUGUUCUGGGGGAUGCACACAAUGACGGUACCCCAAUCGCAAGCCACGGCUAACUACGUGCCAGCAGCCGCGGGAAUACGUAGGUGGCAGGCGUUAUCCGGAAGGCCUGGGCGUAAAGGGUGCGUAGGUGGUAUAGUAAGGCCGAGGUGGAAUUCCGGGGCUCAACCCCGGCGCUACCGCCGAAACUGUUAGACUAGAGUGCGGGGGGGGUAAGUGGAAUUCGUGGUGUAGCGGUGGAAUGCGUAGAUAUUAGGAGGAACAUCAGGGGCGAAGGCGACUUACUGGACUGUAACUGACGCUGAGGCACGAAAGCGUGGGGAGCAAACAGGAUUAGAUACCCCUGUAGUC
rnacentral:rRNA from 1 species